AGCAGCCGCGGUAAUUCCAGCUCCAAUAGCGUAUAUUAAAGUUGUUGCAGUUAAAAAGUUCGUAGUUGAAUUUCGGGAUCAAGGAAUCGGUCAUGCCUUGGUAUGUACUGGUUUUAUUGGUUCUCACCUUCUAAAGAACCAUAAUGUCAUUUAUUUGAUGUUAUGGGGAAUUAGGACUGUUACCUUGAAAAAAUUAGAGUGUUUAAAGCAAGCUUACGCUUGAAUACGUUAGCAUGGAAUAAUGAAAUAGGACGUUCGAUCCUAUUUUGUUGGUUUUAGGAUCAACGUAAUGAUUAAUAGGGAUAGUUGGGGGCAUUAGUAUUCAAUUGUCAGAGGUGAAAUUCUUGGAUUUAUUGAAGACUAACUACUGCGAAAGCAUUUGCCAAGGAUGUUUUCAUUAAUCAAGAACGAAAGUUAGGGGAUCGAAGACGAUCAGAUACCGUCGUAGUCUUAACCAUAAACUAUGCCGACUAGGGAUCGGAUGAUGUUAAUUUUUAAUGACUCAUU
rnacentral:rRNA from 1 species